rnacentral:lncRNA from 1 species
AGAAUUUCGCCUAGUGCAAAUUGGGUCUACGCCAGUGAGCGAGGGAUGCUAUGCGUAGUUGUGAGAGGUUUAGGCGGUAGGCCGCGUAGUAUUGGUGACCGUUGGUCCAUCUGUGGAAGCCGACGUAAUCGGUUUAGCCGAUAACUCUGUGGAUGAGUUAGGAUUAGAUUCACGAACGGAGUGUUCAUGUGAGAUCGUUGCGACAGCGAAGUUGAGUUGGU